CAUAUCAAUAAGCGGAGGAAAAGAAACCAACAGGGAUUGCCCCAGUAACGGCGAGUGAAGCGGCAAGAGCUCAAAUUUGAAAGCUGGCUCCUUCGGGGUCCGCAUUGUAAUUUGCAGAGGAUGCUUCGGGAGCGGUCCCCAUCUAAGUGCCCUGGAACGGGACGUCAUAGAGGGUGAGAAUCCCGUAUGGGAUGGGGUGUCCGCGCCCGUGUGAAGCUCCUUCGACGAGUCGAGUUGUUUGGGAAUGCAGCUCUAAAUGGGUGGUAAAUUUCAUCUAAAGCUAAAUAUUGGCCGGAGACCGAUAGCGCACAAGUAGAGUGAUCGAAAGAUGAAAAGCACUUUGAAAAGAGAGUUAAAAAGCACGUGAAAUUGUUGAAAGGGAAGCGCUUGCGACCAGACUCGCUCGCGGGGUUCAGCCGGCAUUCGUGCCGGUGUACUUCCCCGCGGGCGGGCCAGCGUCGGUUUGGGCGGUCGGUCAAAGGCCCUCGGAAGGUAACGCCCCUAGGGGCGUCUUAUAGCCGAGGGUGCAAUGCGACCUGCCUAGACCGAGGAACGCGCUUCGGCUCGGACGCUGGCAUAAUGGUCGUAAGCGAC
rnacentral:rRNA from 1 species